UUUUAAGCUAAAUAAAUAUAUAACAUAAAAAAAAUUGUAAUUUGGUAUAUUCUUCUUUGUCUGUUUCAGGUUGAAGGACAAAUGUUUGAGGAAAGUCACGGUAUGGAAAAGGCGUGGAUGUACAAUAAUAGGGGCAAUGCACGAAGAAGGGCAUUAAAGACAGUCAGUAAACUGAUUGAAAAUGAGCUGGAUAGGGGAGGGAUGGUGGAUGCCAAUUUAGAGUUAGGUGAUUGUGUUGAUGAUUCAGAAGAAUCUGAGAUGCUAUUUAGUGAUGAAGAAAGUGAUCAGUGUCUUCAUGUUGAGGAAAAGGAAGUAUAUGAAGAGACUUUAGCUUCUGUUGAGGAUCUGCCUGAUCUUGGAGAACAGUGCAGUCAUAGUGAUGGUGAUUUGCGGAGCUCUCUGGCAGAUUGGGCAGUUGAAUUUGGUAUUUCUCUAAUAGCUCUGUCAGCGCUUCUCAGCAUUCUCAAAAUCUACCAUCCCUCUCUGCCAAAGGAUGGACGAACACUGCUGAAAACAAAAACAUGCUACAACAUUAACAGUGUAGCUGGUGGUGUGUUCCACUAUUGUGGAAUUCUGAAUUCUAUCAGGAAAAUUCUAGAUAAAGUGUGGUCUACAGUGCCAGACGGACAUGCUUUUAAACUGCAGUUGAAUUUUGAUGGUCUGCCGCUUUGCAAGAGUACUAGUACACAGUUUUGGCCAAUUCUUGGUAUGUUGCAAAGAUACACCAAGAAACCAAUGUUGAUCGGACUGUUUUGUGGUACUUCUAAGCCAAAUUCGUUGGCCGAGUAUCUUCAUAAUCUGGUUCAAGAGUUGAAAAUGUUGAAAAGUGGGUUUCUGUUCAAGCAGAAAACCUUCUUUGUGAAUGUUGUUUCUGUUGUGUGCGAUACCCCAGCCCGAGCCUUCAUAAGAGGUGUGAAGUCACACACUGGAUACCAUGGGUGUGACAAGUGUCACCAAACGGGUGUCCGCAAAUCUAAUCAAAUGACAUUUCCUGAGGUCAAUGCAAGGCGCAGAACGGAUGACAGUUUUAGGCAAGCAGUAGAUGAGGAACAUCACAUCCAUCACUCACCUCUUGCAGAUGUUGGCAUUGACAUGGUGGCUUGUUUCCCAUACGAUUAUAUGCACCUGGUUUGUCUGGGUGUAAUGAGGCGUCUCUUAGAUUUGUGGAUCAGCACCACUGGUCCUUUGUGCUGUCGCAUUUCAUCUAGUCUAGCUUCCAUGGUUACGGAUAGACUUCUUGCUCUGAAAAAUUACAUUUCCAGUGAGUUUGCUCGAAGGCCACGGGCACUGGCUGAACGAUGUAGGUGGAAAGCCACAGAAUUCUGCCAAUUCUUGUUAUACACUGGUCUGGUUGUGCUGAGGGGUGUUUUAAAACCUCAGAUCUAUGACAACUUCAUGCUUUUGUCAGUAGGUGUGUAUAUUUUGGCCAAAAAGUCCAAAAUAUUGUAUGGAGAUGAACGACCUUGCUCACACUCUGCUGGUUUCAUUUUUUGAACACUUUGGACAGCUUUAUGGUGAAGAGUUUUGGGUUUACAAUAUUCAUGGUCUGUUGCAUCUCAAUGAAGAUGUCAAAAUACAUGGCAAUUUAGAUCUUAUAUCAGCAUUUCCCUAUGAAAAUUUCUUAGGAAAACUUAAAAAAUUGGUUCGGGGGCCAUGCAAUCCUUUGACUCAGGUGUUACGCAGAUUAUCAGAAAUGGAAAAUGGCAGCUACAGUCCAGAUGUUAAAGAGGCAACUCAAAAACUGGAUAAAGAGCAUAUGGGCGGGCCAGUGCCAGAGUGCUUCUCACAACAUGUUCGUCAAUUUAAAGUAUUGGCUAUUGAUGAUAUAGUUGUGAAGCCCAAUGAGAGAGAUUCUUGUAUCAAAGUCGAUAACAAGUUUGUUUUAGUCCGAAACAUUGUUGAGGAUAAAGGAAUUGUGUACCUUGUGGGUAAUGAAUAUAAACAGGUGGAACAUUUCUUUAAAUAUCCAAUUGACUCAAAAGAGUUGGGAAUUUAUGUGGUUUCCAACCUCUCCACCAAUGUCAAGUGUUUUAUGAUUGAAAAGAAGCUACAGAAGUAUGUAAGAUUACCAUUUCGAAACAGAUUUGUUGUUGUUCCACUCUUGCAUUGAAACUAGUAACCCUGAAGUUGCUCUUGUAUUUUAGUUGGCUAUGGAAUUUAUGUAGUCAUGGUUGCUUAUUUUCAGAUGUUUCAUAUUGUUGUCUUUGACAACACAAAUGAGGUUGAUAUUGUGCCUUCAGUCUGGAUAAAAAAUGGAGAGUGCAUGUGGCCUCCAAAUAAAAUUGAUGUGGCAAAAGCUGUAAAAACUCAAGAAUGUCCUGGAGACGGAUGGAUGCCCCAUAAGGCCAGAAUUAUCUUCACAUCACAUGACUACAAUGAAGCAAGGUUUAAACUACCUCAGGCUGUCGAUCACACUGACCUUGGAAGUGACGGAGGGGACUCGCCAAUUAAAUUUAAAAGAAAAAGAAUACGCAAGGAUAUUCUUUUCCCUGGGGAAGACGAUGAAGAGAUGGAAAGCACCCUGAACGUCACAUUGCCCAAUGCUCCAAAGAUCCCCAGGCAGUACAAAACUCCUACAUUAAAGCCAGGGAAGCAAAACAGCCCGAACUUCCAGCCAAGUGGCCACAGCAGUCCUGACCUCCACAGCAGUCCUGACUUCCCACCAAGUGGCCACAGCAGUCCUGACCUCCACAGCAGUCCUGACUUCCCACCAAGUGGCCACAGCAGUCCUGAGCCAAGCCCAAGUCAGCACUACUGUACUUCCAAGUUUCCUUCAAGCUGGCACACCAACACUGAGAAUCAUCCACUGAUGCAUGGCAGCACCGAGAGCCACCGUACGCCGAGGCGCGCCAGCACCGAGAGCCGCCGUAUGCCGAGGCACACCGAACGAUCUAUACUCCCAUCAAGGCACCCCGAGGCACACCAGACCAAGGAGCAGACAGCCAGUCUGCAAACUUGUGAACACGCUCUCAAAGGGGGGGAUUACAAACUCCUUGGCGAAGAAUAUCAACAUGAGAGGAAUAAAUGGAAAGAUUGGCUUUCAGCGCCUACAGAUAAGAGAUGUUGUGAUUGCUGCUGUGAGGCGUAACCGUCUGACAUCUGGGGCCACGGACCAAGAAAUAGAUUCCACCAUCAAAAGAUGGCUUCAUCUGGCUCCGGAUAGGGAUGGUGGCAGGAGGGAGAGGAUGAGGAGAAAAGAGCGUGAAGAGAGCAGGACAGCAGUAAACAAUUUAAUGAACUGAAACAUAGCAUAGACAUGUGUGUAGAGUACAACUGGUUCAUGGACUGAAACAUGGCAUGGAUGUUCAAAAGUUGUUUUUUGUCAAGUGUUUCACAAGUUUACAAGUGCAAAACCGAACUGAAUUUCAGCUGGAACAGCAGGAGGCCAGGACUGUGUUUGUUAUCCUGGACGAAAAGUUGUGUGCAGAGUACAACGGGUUCAUGGACUGAAACAUAGUAUGGAUUUUCAAAAGUUGUGUGUGUUUUACAAGUGCAAAAUCUAACUGAAUUUCAGCUGGAACAGCAGGAGGCUGGAUCCGUGUUUGCUAACCUAGACUGGGCUAAAACACUUAACCUGGUCUGGUGAGUCUGGAUGUUGUGGGAAAUAAAUACCAUAAUUUCUGUGCCGGAGAGAUCCUCACGCCAAACUAUGUUCAAAAAUCUGUAUUUUAUGUACAAGUGUUUUGUACAAGAAUUUCCUAUUUGUCUGUACAUUUUUACAAAUGAGAGGAAGAGA